rnacentral:rRNA from 1 species
UACGAAGGGGGCUAGCGUUGCUCGGAAUCACUGGGCGUAAAGGGUGCGUAGGCGGGGCUUUAAGUCAGGGGUGAAAUCCUGGAGCUCAACUCCAGAACUGCCUUUGAUACUGAGGAUCUUGAGUCCGGGAGAGGUGAGUGGAACUGCGAGUGUAGAGGUGAAAUUCGUAGAUAUUCGCGAGAACACCAGUGGCGAAGGCGGCUCACUGGCCCGGUACUGACGCUGAGGCACGAAAGCGUGGGGAGCAAACAGG